GAAAUGCAGAAACCUUCGAAACUUUCUAACAAUAUGAAAGUUUCGAAAUGUAAAGUUCAUAAACAUGAAGUAAUCAGUUUCGAAACUUUCGAAUUCAUGAAAAGUUCCGAAAUUGUUUCGGGUGGUUGGCCUUCAAUGAAACUUCUGAAACCAGCUUCGAAAGUUUGGGAACAAUACGAAAGUUCCGAAAUGCAUUUUUAUUUUUCAAUUUUUUUAAUAAUUGAUAUAUUGUUGUUUCUAGAAUGAGAGGUGCGUUUGACCAAAUUAUUCGCAACGAGAUAUGUGAUAGAGGUGAUGGUGCAGAGAGAAUUCCACAAUCAACGUCAAACAGACGACAGAACGAAGCAAAUCGUCCAAUUAAACAACAUUGUCAUAGACACGAUGUCCAAGAUGAUGUCGUUGAGCUUACUGAGUCUGCACAAUUAGAGGAGGAUGUCCCUGAACAUCCGCAGAUGGAGCAGGCUGAGGAGCAGUAUGCUGCACAUGCUGAUAAUAUUCAUGAUGUUGAUGAUGUCCCUGCACAUGCUGAUGAUAUUCAUGAUGCUAAUGAGCAGGAUCAGUAGUUCGGAUUCCCCGGGGACCGAUUGUGAAACAUGUGUUGACACAAUAUGAACACCACGUGGCUCGAAGGCUAUGAGAAGGAUAGGAUUGUGGGUCGUUAAAAGUUAUUACUCAUGGAUUGAAGCUGAAAAAGUUUGUUGAAGUUUCUCUGCCGGAUCUUGUACAACAUUGGAUUCAAAAAUCUGAGCUGCUACAUCUGUCUUCAGCUCACCUCACGAUGGCUGAUGCUGGUCUGAUAUCUGCAUUUGUUGAAAAGUGGCAUAAAGAGACCAACUCAUUUCAUUUGUCAUUUGGAGAGAUGACCAUCAUGUUAGACGACGUCAUGACUCUCCUUCACAUCUCACCUCAUGGUAAUUUUUUUUAAUGCACAUGUGAAUAUGAACACUAAUAAUAUUGCAAAAGCUGCACAUGAGUACUUAGGUGCAACAUGGGAUGAAGCGCUAGCUAAGAUUAAUUAUAAUAAAGUGUUAAAUAUAGAUUGCAAUGGUUGCAUGAUUUAUAUAGUCGUCUCAUUCAAACUAACUAGUUUGAGUGUGUGGCUAGAACA